UACGUAGGGUGCGAGCGUUUGUCCGGAAUUAUUGGGGCGUAAAGAGCUUGUAGGCGGUUUGUCGCGUCUGCUGUGAAAUCUCAAGGCUCAACCUUGAGCUUGCAGUGGGUACGGGCAGACUAGAGUGUGGUAGGGGAGACUGGAAUUCCUGGUGUAGCGGUGAAAUGCGCAGAUAUCAGGAGGAACACCGAUGGCGAAGGCGGCAUCCUGGAC
rnacentral:rRNA from 1 species